UCCAGCAGCCGCGGUAAUACGAACCCUGCCAGUAUGACUCGGAAUUACUGGGCGUAAAGCGUGCGUAGGUGGUCUUUUAAGUCCGUUGUGAAAGCCCUGAGCUCAACCUGGGAACUGCAGUGGAUACUGGGCGACUAGAGUGUGGAAGAGGGUAGCGGAAUUCCUGGUGUAGCAGUGAAAUGCGUAAAGAUCAGGAGGAACAUCCAUGGCGAAGGCAGCUACCUGGACCAACACUGACACUGAAGCACAAAAGCGUGGGGAGCAAACAGGAUUAGAUACCCUGGUAGCCCACACCCUAAACGAUGCGAACUGGAUGUUGGGUGCAAUUUGGCACGCAGUAACGAAGCUAACGCAUU
rnacentral:rRNA from 1 species